rnacentral:tmRNA from 1 species
GGGGGCGAUCGGCUUCGACCGGAUGUCGACUCGUUCAGGGUGGCGCGCCGAGGCCCGGUGCACCUCGUAAAUCCCGCCGGAAACAAUCAAGUGCCAACACGCACUACUCCCUCGCUGCCUAAACAACGGUAACGAGCGUCGAGGGUCCCUCGCCUGCGGGGGCCCGAGACGACACACAGCAGG